AUCACAAAUUCACGACGACAGAUUGAGCAUUCGGUCACAAUAAUUAUAUUUUCUCUCAAUUCCGUCACAACAGUUAUCAGCACACAAGAAGAAGGUAAUUAAAUCUCUUUUCUCUCAAUUAUACUCCCUUGCUUAAGUUAAUUGAAUCUCUCCUUCGAAGUUCCCACAAAUUAAAGCUUCAAUUUUAGAACCCAACCAUUUAGCUCAGAAUCAAAUACCCCAACUGAAUUUUGGUACUGUUUCCUCUGAACAUUGCUCAAAGCAUUUGGCCGGGAAAUCUUCAUGGACACACACAAUUGUCUGUUGAAUCUAAAGAUUUGAACAGUGAAUUGAAGCUAUGUGGAUGGACAGUGUAAAAAAGGAUGGCAGUUUUGUUGAUGCCAAGUCGAAGAGCAUUAAUGAUAAAAUGGAGGUUGUCAUAGCUACUGCUCUUUUGAGAUCAACAGAUGAUUCAUCAGAAGAUUCUGAUCAAGAAACUCGAUAUAAAUCCCAUGUACUUUGAUGUUGCGGGGGAGCAAAAAACUGACGUGUGUAUGGAUUGGGAUCUCAGGCUUCAACCUUGUAUAAAGAUAUGACAUGCAAUUUGCCUAUAGUUGUCCGAUCAUGUUGCCGAAGAGCGCAUCAAAAUACUUGAGAAGAGGUGUCGUAUAUGAGAGAAAAUCAAGAGAGAGUUCUUCAAGAGCGUGUAGAGUCGGAGGUGCAACAACGAGUAGAGCAAGAGGUUUUCCAAUUGAGGCAACAAAGUGAUGAUCGAUUCAAAUCUAUGGAGGAGCAGUGGUCUCGCAUGAUGAACGAUAUGACAUCAUCUUCUCGCUCAUUUAGUAAUCCUACUCUCCCUAAUAGGGACUCAUCUUAUGCUUAAGUGUUUAAUAUUUUGAGACUUUAGUUACUUGAAGUGUCGACUUGAACAUUGUCACACUUUUUUGAAUAGUUAUAUGCUUUAAAUUUUAAACAUUGGUAGACUUUUGCUUAUUGAAGUUGUGAUUUUGCAUGUUUUAAC